rnacentral:rRNA from 1 species
AUGUCGUCCUCAAGCGCCGCCAACUCCACCCUCUCUGGCCAGAUCACAGAGCGUCUCACCCGAACCAACUACGUCUUAUGGCGUACCCAAAUCACGCCACGGCUUCGGGGGGCAGGGUUCUUCGGCUACGUGGACGGCAGCAUGCCGGAGCCGGCCAAGGUCGUCGUCAGCAAGGAUAAGGAUGGCAAGGAGGAGACCAUCCCCAACCCGCUUCACUCGGUUUGGAUCAGGGAGGAUCAACAGGUGCUUGGUUACCUUCUGAAUAACCUCUCCAAAGAAGUGCUUGUGCAGGUGACCUCGAUCGCC